rnacentral:rRNA from 1 species
AUUGAACGCUGGCGGCAUGCUUUACACAUGCAAGUCGAACGGCAGCGCGGGCUUCGGCCUGGCGGCGAGUAGCGAACGGGUGAGUAAUGCAUCUGAACGUGCCCAGUAGUGGGGGAUAGCCCGGAGAAAUCCGGAUUAAUACCGAAUACGACCUGCGGGUGAAAGCGGGGGACCGAAAGGCCUCGCGCUAUUGGAGCGACCGAUGUCGGAUUAGCUAGUUGGUGGGGUAAAGGCUUACCAAGGCGACGAUCCGUAGCUGGUCUGAGAGGACGACCAGCCACACUGGGACUGAGACACGGCCCAGACUCCUACGGGAGGCAGCAGUGGGGAAUUUUGGACAAUGGGGGCAAGCCUGAUCCAGCCAUGCCGCGUGCGGGAAGAAGGCCUUCGGGUUGUAAACCGCUUUUGUUCGGGAAGAAAUCCUCUGGGCUAAUACCCCGGGGGGAUGACGGUACCGGAAGAAUAAGCACCGGCUAACUACGUG